UACGUAGGUGGCAAGCGUUGUCCGGAUUUACUGGGCGUAAAGGAUGCGUAGGCGGACAUUUAAGUCAGAUGUGAAAUACCCGAGCUUAACUUGGGUGCUGCAUUUGAAACUGGGUGUCUAGAGUGCAGGAGAGGUAAGUGGAAUUCCUAGUGUAGCGGAUGAAUGCGUAGAGUAUUAGGAAGAACACCAGUGGCGAAGGCGACUUACGUGGACUGUAACUGACGCUGAGGCAUGAAAGCGUGGGGAGCAAACAGG
rnacentral:rRNA from 1 species